rnacentral:tRNA from 1 species
GGGGGCUUAGCUCAGCGGCAUAAGCGCCUGCCUUGAAAGCAGGCAGUUGUGAGUUCAAUCCCCA